AACAUCGCGCACCUGCGGGAACCUGCGGAAGGAUCAUUACCGAGUUUACAACUCCCAAACCCAUGUGAACAUACCUAUCGUUGCUUCGGCGGAUCGCCCCGGGCGCCUUGCGUGCCCCGGAUCCAGGCGGCCGCCGGGGGACCUUAACUCUUGUUUUUACUGAGAAUCUUCUGAGUCGUUUUUACAAAUAAAUAAAAACUUUCAACAAUGGAUCU
rnacentral:misc_RNA from 1 species